rnacentral:rRNA from 1 species
GACGAACGCUGGCGGCGUGCUUAACACAUGCAAGUCGAACGGAAAGGCCCUGCUUUUGUGGGGUGCGCGAGUGGCGAACGGGUGAGUAACACGUGAGUAACCUGCCCUUGACUUUGGGAUAACUUCAGGAAACUGGGGCUAAUACCGGAUAGGAGCUCCUGCUGCAUGGUGGGGGUUGGAAAGUUUCGGCGGUUGGGGAUGGACUCGCGGCUUAUCAGCUUGUUGGUGGGGUAGUGGCUUACCAAGGCUUUGACGGGUAGCCGGCCUGAGAGGGUGACCGGCCACAUUGGGACUGAGAUACGGCCCAGACUCCUACGGGAGGCAGCAGUGGGGAAUAUUGCACAAUGGGCGGAAGCCUGAUGCAGCAACGCCGCGUGCGGGAUGACGGCCUUCGGGUUGUAAACCGCUUUCGCCUGUGACGAAGCGUGAGUGACGGUAAUGGGUAAAGAAGCACCGGCUAACUCCGUG